UGGACAGAUUAUUGUAUUCGACUGUAUUCGCGGCGUGAAACAGGGGAUUAAAUGGAAAGUGAAUCAAUUAACAUAAUAGACUCCU
rnacentral:pre_miRNA from 1 species